rnacentral:rRNA from 1 species
AGUGAACGCUGGCGGUAGGCCUAACACAUGCAAGUCGAACGGCAGCACAGUAAGAGCUUGCUCUUACGGGUGGCGAGUGGCGGACGGGUGAGGAAUACAUCGGAAUCUACUUUUUCGUGGGGGAUAACGUAGGGAAACUUACGCUAAUACCGCAUACGACCUACGGGUGAAAGCAGGGGAUCUUCGGACCUUGCGCGAUUGACUGAGCCGAUGUCGGCUUAGCUAGUUGGCGGGGUAAAGGCCCACCAAGGCGACGAUCCGUAGCUGGUCUGAGAGGAUGAUCAGCCACACUGGAACUGAGACACGGUCCAGACUCCUACGGGAGGCAGCAGUGGGGAAUAUUGGACAAUGGGCGCAAGCCUGAUCCAGCCAUACCGCGUGGGUGAAGAAGGCCUUCGGGUUGUAAAGCCCUUUUGUUGGGAAAGAAAAGCAGCAGGUUAAUACCCCGCUGUUCUGACGGUACCCAAAGAAUAAGCACCGGCUAACUUCGUG